UGUCCUUGCUGUUUGCAGAUAA
rnacentral:miRNA from 1 species